rnacentral:rRNA from 1 species
CGGGUGAGUAAUAUAUCGGAACGUACCCUGGAGUGGGGGAUAACGUAGCGAAAGUUACGCUAAUACCGCAUACGAUCCAUGGAUGAAAGCAGGGGACCGCAAGGCCUUGUGCUCCUGGAGCGGCCGAUAUCUGAUUAGCUAGUUGGUGGGGUAAAGGCCUACCAAGGCAUCGAUCAGUAGCUGGUCUGAGAGGACGACCAGCCACACUGGAACUGAGACACGGUCCAGACUCCUACGGGAGGCAGCAGUGGGGAAUUUUGGACAAUGGGCGCAAGCCUGAUCCAGCAAUGCCGCGUGAGUGAAGAAGGCCUUCGGGUUGUAAAGCUCUUUUGUCAGGGAAGAAACGGUGAGGGCUAAUAUCCUUUGCUAAUGACGGUACCUGAAGAAUAAGCACCGGCUAACUACGUGCCAGCAGCCGCGGUAAUACGUAGGGUGCAAGCGUUAAUCGGAAUUACUGGGCGUAAAGCGUGCGCAGGCGGUUUUGUAAGUCUGUCGUGAAAUCCCCGGGCUCAACCUGGGAAUGGCGAUGGAGACUGCAAGGCUAGAAUCUGGCAGAGGGGGGUAGAAUUCCACGUGUAGCAGUGAAAUGCGU